CGUUUCUGCUGUGCCAUUAAGAGUACAAAAAACAAUAAAAAAUUAGUUCUCUUUUCAUAACUUUUGAUUCUUUCGUUCUUUACUACAUGCAGUUCACGCACUGGGUUGUCCACCAGUUCUUAUCCAGUAGAUGAGGCAGGAAAUCAAAUUUGAAUUGAAAAAUUAAAUUUCAAAAAUUGAUUUAUUUCUCUCCUCUAAUCCCUUUCUCCUUUGAUAGCCACUAAGUUCUCUACCUUUUUUUUUCUCAAUUUCUCCUCUCUUACACCAAGGUCUCCUCCCACGUUCCCAUCGAAGCAAAGAAGAAGAGAACAUGACGGUGAAGAGGAAAAGCACGAGGAAGAAGGAAAAGAGGGAGGCAACGACGGCGGUGGUGGUGAGAGGCUGCAACCUUGCCACUGAAUCAAAUGAAAGAGAGUGAAAGCAAGCAGAUCGGUGACAGAGGAAGAGAAAGCAGGUGAAGGCGGUGACAGAGGCCACCGCCGCUGCUGGAUACGCCGCCAGAGAAGAAAUUCGUUGGACUGAGGGGAGAGAAAAAAAUGGAAGAAGAAAAGUAGAGGCUCAGGUUCUUCCUCUAACUGAUGGAAACUCAGCUUACUCUGUCCAGUCAGAUGCAGUUGAAAAUGAAUCAUAUCAAAACUCCCCAAAGAACUCUAGCAGACAGAGAUCAUGCAUACACGUAUAAUAUAGCAAUGCUCAGAUUUUCCUUGGAGUGGAUAAAAGUUAUGGUUCUAUUCUAGAGUAUUCAAAAUUGAGGUUUGCUUUUAGCUUUUAAAAUAGAUUCCUUUGUUCUUUUAACAAAUAGAGAAUGAUCAGAUUUCGUGUUUUCAAAAUCAAAACAUUUUAAAGUGAGUGCAAGAGUAUUAAACCAUGCCUUAGGAGCCUGUUUAAGGCCAAAGAUAACUUUAUGCAAAACUUACAAACUAUAGUUGAAUCAGAUGAUGCAAAUUGGUCUGGCCGAUGCAUAUAAAUGUUUUCUUCAAGCAUUCCAUUAAGAAACGCAUUAUCAAAAUCAAAUUAUUGCAUCUGCCAGCCAUUAAUAAUAGCAAGGGAAAGUAUAAUUCUUACAAUUUGAGGUCCUAUAACCGGGCUAUAAACUUCCUUAAAGUAUAUACCUUCAUGUUGAUGAAAUCGUUUUGCUACUAUGUGUGUCUUAUAGCGCAAAAUAUCUCCAGCUGAGUUUUUCUUUAUUGGAAAAAUCCACUUGCAAGGAACAAGUGUUGAAUUGGGUAGAGGUUGUUGUAGAGAAUAUGUCUUGCAUCGCAUCAAAGUAUUGUAUUUGGUUUGCAUUGCUUUUUUCCAAUGAUCAAACUGCAUAGCAUACUUAGCAUUUUUUGGUAUAUAUUUCAGAAAGUUUGGAUCAUCUGUAGUUAUAGAAAGAUAGGUUUUAAGUUUAGUAAUGCCGCUUUUUGACCGUGUAUUCAUUAGAUGAGUAUUUGUGAUUUGAGAGGUAGAGAGGGUGGAUCUAUUAACGGGAGGAACUUCAAUUUCACUUAUUGGAGUUGUGUGAGAGGAUUCCUGUUCUGAAGUGUGUAGAGGUGCAGGAGUGUCAUUGGUAUUGUUAUCGAUAUGGAUGACUUGGAAAUUGGGUGAGGUGAAUAUAAAAGAAGAGGGAAAUAAAAUAAUUUGUUCUGAUGGGGAAGGAGUAUAAAUGACUUUGAAUUAAUAGAAGGGGUUGGCUUUUCUGUGUAGUGCUCAUUGUAAGGAAAUAAUUUUUCCUUAAAAAUCACAUGUUUAGCAAAAUAUAGUUUGCCAGAUCUAGUUAGACAUUUAUAUCCCUUGUGUUAACUAUCACAUAUACCCAAGGAAUAGGUCUUCCUUUUGUUGUAUGGUCUCAAAUAUGGAUAGCAGCCACACUCGAAAAUUGUUAAAGAAUUAUAAUAUGGUUUUUGAUUGAAAAUUACCUCAAAUGAUGUCUUUGAUUGUAAUACAGGAUUUAGUAGUCUAUUGAUGAGAUGUACAACAGUUGUGAAUGCAUCUUCCCAAAAUUGAAAUGGUAGACCAGCUGUUGCUAGCAUAGACAUGUCUAUCUUUGUGAUGUGUCUAUGUUUGCGUUUAACAUUACCUUGUUGCUCUUGUGUGUAUGGACACGCCAAUCUAUGAACAAUACCCUGAUUUUGAAGAAAAUAUGUAAAAGCUUGUGACAAGAAUUCCAAGCCAUGCUCAGCUUGAAGAGAUUUUAUUUUGAAACCUGUUUGUAAUUUCAUUAAGUGUUUGAAGUUUUGAAAAGCAAGUAAAGCUUGUAAUUUAUUAGUUAAAAGAAAAAUACAAGUAAACUUAGAAAAAACAUCAACAAAACACAUAUAGUAUUUGAAGCCAUUUUUAAAAGAUAUUAGUGAAGGUCCCCAGCUAUUUUUUUAUACUAGUUCUAAAGGAUGAGUGUAGGUAUGUACAGAUGAGAGAGAUGGUUGUUUGUGCAUUUUAGCAAGGGAACAAAACUCACAAAUAAUAAGAGUGUUUGGACUAUAGUCAGAUUUUAUGUCACAUUGUUUAAGAACAGCAAGAACACUUUUAAUCCCACAAUGUCCAGGUCUCUUAUGCCAUAUUUCAAAAUUAGUAGGUAAAUACAAAAUAGAAUUAAAGGCAAUAGAAGAGAAAAUAGCAGUGGAAAAAAGCAUCACUAUGAUGAGCAGUGUUAAUAUUUGUAUGUAAGAAUAGUCCAUAGUACACAUCAGAAGCAUUGUUAGAUCCAAAAUUUAAAGAACUAUAGCUUGACAUCAGAAUUGAAAUGAUUUACAGACUUGGACUCGGAUUUAUUCGUAUUUAUAGAAGACUCAUGGGUAUUUCUGGAUACAACAUCUAAAUUUGUAAGCAAACAAUGAUUAUUAUGACAAGAAUUAGACUUAAAAUUAACAGAAGAAGACAUAACAGUAGUGCCUAAAUCUCGAAGCUUGUAAAUCCCUCCCUCAGCAAUGCCGUGGAGAAGAAGCCUCUCCUGGUUACAGCACAAUAUUUAGGCUAAAACUCAAAAUAAACGUGAUUAUCCUCUGCGAAUUUUGACACACUUAAAAGAUUGUGUUAUAGUUGGUGCAUGAAGAAGAUUAGUCAAUUUAUAAUACAUAUUAUGAAGACGAUCAUAUAAUAAAGAAGAACCGAUAGUAAGGACAGGGAUGCCCUGACCAUUACUCACAAAAAGGUUUGGAGCCUGAGUAUUAUCACUAGAAUUCAGGAGAUUAGUAUGAUCAUUAGUGACAUAGUGAUUGGCACCGAAAUUGGGGUUCCAUGAUGAUCCUACCACAGAUGAUGGUGCUUUGUAAUAGGCGCGAGGUUGAUGGAA